CUGAUGCGCAUGCCCAACACCCUGGCCAGGGGUCCAAGUGGACGACGGGGCCAGGGAAGCAGCCGAGGGUCAGUUGUUGGGAGGGCAGGGUGGAGUGUGGUUGUGAUGCUAUUCGUUGUUCAUCCACCUGAAGUCUUUAAUGGUGAACAGGUCAACGCGACGACCGAAGCCCCGAAUGCCGUACACGAAGCGUUGGUUGUGAGGGGCUUGCUGCGUGUUGGAAGCCUUCCCGGUGGUGAUCAGCAGGUGCACGAGAGAAGGACGUCGUCGAUUGUGGUUCAUCCUUAUAGCUUACGGUGGCAGUGAAUUAUGAAGUGUUGGGUACUUGUUGGAUGAUAAUGGGUAGUAAGUGACGUAAGUGGUGGUUGGCGUUGGUAAUGGUAGGGAUAAUACGUGAGUGGAAUUAGAGGUAAUUUUGUCCAGUGUCAAGCCUUGUCUUGUCAUUAUGCGUGUGUUCAGUUAUAGUGAUUGGUUUCUCACCGGCAGACGACUUUGCACGUAAUUCACUUGGUAAUACGAGAAUGUAAUGCUCGUGAUCAAAACGUUAUAUUGGUCUUGAUAAUGCUGGUAGGGAGGUUAAAUGGUCGAGGAGCUACGGUAAAACGCGUUACUUGGGCACCCUCGCUCUUUGCAGGGAUGUAAAUUGGCAGUAAUGUAGCUAAGACUGCAAUGUUAUUCCGUUUGCCCUUUUUUUUUUUUUUUUUUAUUUGACGUCGUGGUCUACUUACUGGCAGUUUUAUUAUGAAUGAAGGGCAGUUGAGUGUUUUAGACCAAAUAAGCCUUUCGUUUUUAAACUAGGAACAGGCUGAGAUUAUUUUUCACUUAUGUACUUUUUUAAUCCGAUUUUUUUAAGGCGUGUUUUAUCUCGCCCAGUUUUAGUGGGCUGUCGUGGAAUUUAUUGGGAAUUUUCAGGGACGUGUCAAGACAUUAGACUGACAUAGCAUUUCGAAUUAGUUAAGGUACGAGACCACACUAUAUCGAUGCAGGUGCAAAUUAGAUUUUUUAUUUUAAUGAGAGGACGAGAGGAGGCUGGAUGCACAUUUAGGUUAGGUUAAUCCUCUUUUAUAGUUUUUAUAUUUGUAUGCGUUUCCAAUAGUUUUAAGAUAAGUUCAGAUUUUUUUUUUUCCUAAUUUUGCUCAUGUAGUCUUGUUACAUCACCUCGAUGACAGGUUGUGGCGCCUUGAACACCAACAGGAGUGGAGCAGCAGCCAGGCCUUCUCAGUUAUUGCCUCACCAAGGUAGUCAUGCCAUUAAGGUGGCUCCUGCCUGGAACACUACCAAGGUUUAAAAGUAAUAAGCCAAGGGGUGGAAGAAAUUCCUUAAGACUGCUGCAGCUCUACUCCAGAGGGUUCAUCUUCAGUGCCGCAACCUUCCCAAGACUACCAGGAACUACUGAAACUUUGAGCUCUACUCAAGAGGUUUUUAUAGUGCCACAACCUUCCCAAGACUACCAGGAACUACUGAAACUUUGAAGAUAAUCAUUAAUAUGCGACUUAAAUGUGUUCCUUGUGUGUAAGACUUGUGGACUUGUAGUGUUGCAAGUAACAAGCUUCCCCCUCCACCACAAACUCCAACUUGUGCAGGUCUCUUGAAGGGUCCAAACCUGAGGAGGAGGGGCUAGGUUAGCUAGGUUAUAUUAAGUAGGUUGUGUUAGACCUAGGGAUAGUGUGUGGAGGACAGGAAAAGUAGACCAGUGGAAAGACUAAAGACCUGGGGAUGAUGUGUGGAGGAGGACAGGGCAGCGAGUCCAAAGGGAAGACUAAAGAAGACCUGAGUAUGGUGUGUGGAGGAAAGGGCAAGGAGACCAGUGGGAAGACUAAAGAAGACCCAAGUAUGGUGCAUGUAGGACAGAGCAAGGAAACCAGUGGGAAGACUAAAGAAGACCUGGGUAUCGUGUGUGGACACACACAAAACCAAAGUUAGUCGUUCUAACUUUUCUUAGUAAAACCCAUGGGGUCUAGAACGAGUGGUAGCAUUAGUCACAGUGACUAACAUAAUGUUAGUCAAUUUG